rnacentral:rRNA from 1 species
AGUGAACGCUGGCGGUAGGCCUAACACAUGCAAGUCGAACGGCAGCACAGUAAGAGCUUGCUCUUACGGGUGGCGAGUGGCGGACGUGUGAGGAAUACAUCGUAAUCUACUUUUUCGUGGGGGAUAACGUAGGGAAACUUACGCUAAUACCGCAUACGACCUACGGGUGAAAGCAGUGGAUCUUCGGACCUUGCGCGAUUGAAUGCGCCGAUGUCGGAUUAGCUAGUUGGCGGGGUAAAGGCCCACCAAGUCGACGAUCCGUAGCUGGUCUGAGAGGAUGAUCAGCCGCACUGGAACUGAGACACGGUCCAGACUCCUACGGGAGGCAGCAGUGGGGAAUAUUGGACAAUGGGCGCAAGCCUGAUCCAGCCAUACCGCGUGGGUGAAGAAGGCCUUCGGGGUGUAAAGCCGUUUUGUUGGGAAAGAAAAGCAGCAGGUUAAUACCCCGCUGUUCUGACGGUACCCAAAGAAUAAGCACCGGCUAACUUCGUG